AAUAUAUAAAUUAUUAUAUUUAUUUAUAUAUAUAUUUUAAUAAAAAUAAUUUUAAAAUUAUGGAUUUUUAGUAUAUUUUAUAGAAAAAAUAUUUUUAAUAAUAGUUAAUUAGUAUUGUAAAAGAAAUUUGAAAUAAAGAUUUAUUAAGUAAAAGUAAAAUUUAUUUUUUGUACCUUGUGUAUCAGGGUUUAUUUAAAAAUUAAUAUUUAGGUUAUUUUUCCCGAAUUUAAGAGAGAGAAUUAAUUAUUUUUUUUAUUGUAACAAAAAUAUUUAAAAUUAUUAAUUAGAAAUGAAAAGUUAUUCGUUCUUAAUAUAUCUGGUUUAUUUAGAAAUAAAUUUAAUUUAGAUUAUUUAAUAAUUUAUAAUAUUUUUUUAUUAUAAAUUAUUUUAUUAUUAAUAGUUAAAGGGAUAAGCUUUUAAUUAUUUUUUAAAAGUAAAUCAAUAAGUAAUAAAAAAUGUAAGUUUAGAAAUAUCUAUCAUAAUAGUUUGUUAUAAUUAAUUUUAUUUUAAAUAUUAUUUGAUAAUACUUUAAUUUUUUUAUAAAUAUAUAAUUUUUAAUUAUUAAAAAUUAGUAAUAAUGAUAAAAUUAGUAUAACAAUUUAUUUAAAUAAAUUUAAAUAAAAAAUUAAUUUAAGGAAUUCAGCAAAAUUUUUAUUCGCCUGUUUAACAAAAACAUGUCCUUUUGAAUUUAAUUUAAGGUCUAACCUGCCCAAUGAAAAAUUUAAAUGGCCGCAGUAUUUUGACUGUGCAAAGGUAGCAUAAUCAUUAGUUUUUUAAUUGAAAGCUUGUAUGAAGGGUUGGACGAGAUAAAAACUGUCUUAAGUUAAUUUAUUUUAGAAUUUAAUUUUUAAGUUAAAAAGCUUAAAUAUUAUUAAAAGACGAGAAGACCCUAUAGAUCUUUAUAAUUUUUAUUUUAAUUAAAUUUUAGAAUUUAUUAUUAUUUAAUAUAAAAAUUAUUAUAUUGGGGUAAUAUAAAGAUUUAAGUAAUUCUUUAUUUAUUUAUACAUUAAUUUAUGGUUAUUUGAUCCAAUAUUAUUGAUUAUAAGAUUAAGUUACCUUAGGGAUAACAGCGUAAUUUUCUUAAAGAGUUCAUAUCGAUAAGAAAGUUUGCGACCUCGAUGUUGGAUUAAAAAUUAUCCUAGGUGCAGAAGUUUAGGAUUUUGGUCUGUUCGACCAUUAAAUUUUUACAUGAUCUGAGUUCAGACCGGUGUAAGCCAGGUCGGUUUCUAUCUUUAAUAAAAGAAUAUAUUUUAGUACGAAAGGACCAAAUAUUAAAUAUAAGAUAUUUAAUUUUUUGAAUAUUAUU
rnacentral:rRNA from 1 species